UACGUAGGGGGCAAGCGUUGUCCGGAAUCAUUGGGCGUAAAGCGCGCGUAGGCGGCCCGGUAAGUCCGUUGUGAAAGUCAAAGGCUCAACCUUUGAACGCCGAUGGAUACUGCCGGGCUAGAGUCCGGAAGAGGCGAGUGGAAUUCCUGGUGUAGCGGUGGAAUGCGCAGAUAUCAGGAGGAACACCGAUAGCGAAGGCAGCUCGCUGGGACGGUACUGACGCUGAGGCGCGAAAGCGUGGGGAGCGAACAGG
rnacentral:rRNA from 1 species